rnacentral:misc_RNA from 1 species
UCGCGGCUUAUCACCGGCAGUCUCCUUCAGAGUGCCCACCCAAACGUGCUGGCAACUGAAGGCGAGGGUUGCGCUCGUUGCGGGACUUAACCCAACAUCUCACGACACGAGCUGACGACAGCCAUGCAGCACCUGUGCGGGAGGCCCUUGCGGGAACAACCAUCUCUACCAGCGUCCUGUGCAUGUCAAACCCAGGUAAGGUUUUUCGCGUUGCAUCGAAUUAAUCCACAUCAUCCACCGCUUGUGCGGGUCCCCGUCAAUUCCUUUGAGUUUUAAUCUUGCGACCGUACUCCCCAGGCGGUCUACUUCACGCGUUAGCUGCGUUACCAAGUUAAUUAAAACCCGACAACUAGUAGACAUCGUUUAGGGCGUGGACUAC